rnacentral:lncRNA from 1 species
UUUUUUAUCUGGCCAAAACCGUCAGAAAAAAAAAAAAUUCAAAAUUGACCAGCUAAUGAUAGCAAUCAGCUUAUUCAAUAUCACUUCAUGCCUGCAUGUGAUUUGGUAGGGUCCCACCUUUCAGUUCUUGGUGGCAGUGGGUGGUUGACGUGAUUUUACUGUCUCAUGCAGUUGUUCCUAUCAUUCUUAGUACGAAAUAUGGAUAUGUACUGUGUAUGGUGCUUUAUCCACAGAAUAAUUUAUUUUGGUGCUAAAGAAAGAAUACCAGGUUUCAUGUGAGAUGAAGUUUAAAUCCCUCAAAACUGUUUGCGUUGGUGAUGUGCAUCUGAGUUUUUGUCUGAGUUAUCAAUAAUUAUGGUUCGCCAGAAGAGAGGUGAGGACAUAGGACAUGGUUUUUUGUGAACUUACUGCUGGUAUGGCGCAAUUGUGAUUGAUAUUAUUGUUUGUUUAAAAGCUCAGAAUACCUGAAAUCUUCUUGUUCUAAAAUAAACUUCUUUUUUUUAGUGGCAUAGAGGGCCAAUAGAAGUUUACGAAAGGUCACCUGAGUUGUAGAAGAACAUUUUCACAUAAGUCAAAUUUGAUUGUGACCCUUUGGCGUGUUGAAUAAUUUGUCACCUGGUGAUUCUCAAAAGAAUUUGGACCAACUCUUUGAGGAAGUAGUUAUUAUAUAUCCAUAUAAUUUGUUAGCCAAGGGAUUCAACAAUUCACCAUUGUACAGUAAUUGCUUUUUAUAGCUUGCUUGGCUAAGCUUUCAAGUGCUUAGAAGCAGUGUGCCCCAGGGAAUUUGUGGCUCGAAGGUAAGUAAAAGUUGUAGGUUGAAUUUGUGAAUAAGAAUAGAGUUUGACCAACUUACAAGCAAUUGUAAGCUUUGCCAAACAUGCACUUAAUAUGAAUCUCCAGGUAGGGGAUUUGUAUCUCUGUUCGUGAGAGUAAUCUCCAUAUUUUUUCUCAUACCGAAGGUUAUUUCUAGCAUAAUCACUUUGUUCGUCAGAAAGGGUAGCAUAUUCUUCGCCCAUUUUGAAUAUCUUUUGCAUGUUCAGAAUCUGUUUGAUAUAUGCACUUUGUUCUUCAAGUUUGUGUUAGUUGAAUAUAUUUGCUCGUCACGGAACUAUUAUCUUUGUUAAGGUUUUGUGGGUGAAGUGCAUUUUGAUCGCCACUUAUGUUGUGUUUAUAACUUGCAUUAGGUUGUAUUCCACUUUCCUGAAUCCCUUCGAAAGGAUAACUUAUAUUGUUGGGUUGUUAUAAACAAAAGCCACGUUUUGAUUUGAUUAUACUAUGGCUUGUUAUGUUGUGAAUUCUGUCUUGACCUUGGACAUAGUUGAGAUGCUUCUCGACUUGACCUCCCAUUGGCCAUAUUUGUUUUACUCAUACAACGUGCAAUGAUCAUUUUGUUUUUGAUCCUUUAAUGUCUAAGUGGAUAAGGUUAGGAACUCAAAAUUUCUAGCCAGGCAGCACUAAGAACAUGCCUUUUCAGUGUCCCCAUUGCAAGAUGGAUCUCUUUGCAACAGAAUUUGAUGAAAUGAAUUUCUGUCGUCUUUUUUUUUUUUGCCCCAUAAUUGAUUAUGUCUAGGUGAAGAGUUAUGAUCUCUUCUCUUGCAGUGUUGGUUUACUUAUUGAAGAUUAUUUUAUUAG